rnacentral:rRNA from 1 species
UAGUCCACGCCGUAAACGUUGAACACUAGGUGUGGUGGACAGAUCCAUGUCUGCCGUGCCGAAGCUAACGCAUUAAGUGUUCCGCCUGGGGAGUACGGCCGCAAGGCUAAAACUCAAAGGAAUUGACGGGGGCCCCGCACAAGCGGCGGAGCAUGCGGCUUAAUUCGAUGCAACCCGAAGAACCUUACCUGGACUUGACAUUAUGGGUCUAUCCGUGGAAACACGGAGUGCUUAGGCGCUCAUAACAGGUGGUGCAUGGCUGUCGUCAGCUCGUGUCGUGAGAUGUUGGGUUAAGUCCCGCAACGAGCGCAACCCUUAUCCUAUGUUGCCAACACGUAAUGGUGGGGACUCAUAGGAGACUGCCGGGGACAACUCGGAGGAAGGGCGAGGACGACGUCAAGUCAUCAUGCCCCUUAUGUUCAGGGGCUGCACGCAUGCUACAAU